rnacentral:rRNA from 1 species
GACGAACGCUGGCGGCGUGCUUAACACAUGCAAGUCGAACGGUGAAGCGCCUUCCUUUUUGGUGGGUGUGGAUGAGUGGCGAACGGGUGAGUAACACGUGAGUAACCUGCCCCCUUCUUCUGGAUAACCGCAUGAAAGUGUGGCUAAUACGGGAUAUUCUGUGUCUGUCGCAUGAUGGGUCUGGGAAAGAUAUUGUUUCGGUGGGGGAUGGGCUCGCGGCCUAUCAGCUUGUUGGUGGGGUGAUGGCCUACCAAGGCGGUGAGGGGUAGCCGGCCUGAGAGGGUGGACGGUCACACUGGGACGGAGACACGGCCCAGACUCCUACGGGAGGCAGCAGUGGGGAAUAUUGCACAAUGGGCGCAAGCCUGAUGCAGCGACGCCGCGUGAGGGAUGGAGGCCUUCGGGUUGUGAACCUCUUUCGGCAGUGAAGCAGGCCUGCCUCGUUUGUGGGUGGGUUGACGGUAGCUGGAUAAGAAGCGCCGGCUAACUACGUG